rnacentral:tRNA from 5 species
GCGAAAGUGGCGAAAUUGGUAGACGCACUGGAUUUAGGUUCCAGCGCCGCGAGGCGUGAGAGUUCGAGUCUCUCCUUUCGCACCA